rnacentral:rRNA from 1 species
UACGGGAGGCAGCAGUGGGGAAUAUUGCGCAAUGGGCGCAAGCCUGAUGCAGCCAUGCCGCGUGUAUGAAAAAGGCCUUCGGGUUGUAAAGUACUUUCAGUCGUGAGGAAGGUGUUAAGGUUAAUAACCUUAGCAAUUGACGUUAGCGACAGAAGAAGCACCGGCUAACUCCGUGCCAGCAGCCGCGGUAAUACGGAGGGUGCGAGCGUUAAUCGGAAUUACUGGGCGUAAAGGGCACGCAGGCGGUUAAUUAAGUUGGAUGUGAAAUCCCCGGGCUUAACCUGGGAAUGGCAUUCAAGCUGGUUAGCUAGAGUCUUGUAGAGGGGGUAGAAUUCCAUGUGUAGCGGUGAAAUGCGUAGAGAUGUGGAGGAAUACCGGUGGCGAAGGCGGCCCCUGGACAAAGACUGACGCUCAUGUGCGAAAGCGUGGGGAGCAAACAGGGAUUAGAUACC